ensembl:lncRNA
UAUGUGAGUGUGGAUACAGGAAGAGACCCUAUCAUUCAGUUCAUAUCUCUUUUAUAUCUCUUCUCAUCAAACCCAUUGCCAGGACAGAGUAUGGAAUAUAUGUACUUUUUUAAAGGAAAAUCUUUGCACAGACUUUACUGGCAGAUAUGGUUUGAUAGAAAUAACUGUGUGUGAGAGGCCUGGAAGAGAUGACAAUGCAGUUAAUCUAUUCCUGUCUGUCAAAAUAAUUUGUACAUUUUAACUUUGUAAAUGUAACUGUUGUAUCAUUUCUGAAUGUAUUUAUUUGCAAGUGAAUAGGCUAACAUGAAAAAACACUAUAUUCUCACUCCUGGUCCUUGUGUUAUCCGACCCAUAUCUCCUGGACCUUGUGUUAUCCAACCAAUAUCUCCUGGUCCUUGUGUUAACCGACCCAUAUCUCCUGGUCCUUGUGUUAUCCAACCAAUAUCUCCUGGUCCUUGUGUUAUCCGACCCAUAUCUCCUGGUCCUUGUGUUAUCCGACCCAUAUUUCCUGGUCCUUGUGUUAACCGACCCAUAUCUCCUGGACCUUGUGUUAUACGACUCGCUAUCUCCUGCUUCUUGUGUUAUCCGACCCAUAUCUCCUGGUCCUUGUGUUAUCCGACCCAUAUCUCCUGGACCUUGUGUAAUUCAACCCAUAUCUCCUGGUCCCUGUGAUAUCCGACCCAUAUCUCCUGGUCGUUGUGUUAUCCGACCCAUAUCUCCUGGGUCCUUGUGUUAUCCGACCCGUGUAUUUCUGGAAAUAUUCCUUAAACCUUUAUGGUUUUAUACUAACCUGGAGAAUUCCAGUCUGUGCUAACAUUCCACUCCUUACCACACCAAACAACAUUUUUGGCAAUCAUAAGGAGUCCAAGGAGUGGAAUGUUGGCACAAAACAGGUUCUUGAUUUCAGGCUAGUUUUUUGGGGCAUUAACACACUUUGAGCUGUUGCUACGGUAACUUAUCUUUUGGCUCAGAUUCAUCAGACUCAACCUGACAAUGGACUUUCAUAAUAGUGACUAUCAUAUCUUAUAUCAUAUCGUUGCAUAUUACACCACUCUGUGAAAAUUAUAUCUGAACUGGGGUCAGUGUCCUGCAAACAAAACAAAUAAAGGUCCCAUGUUCGCAUCGUCUACUUUAGAUGGAGAUACCGCAUCACGUUCUGUCUUACAAUCAAUAAUAACUGAUAGAUUUGUCUGUAUUUCCAUAAAUCUCAAAUGAAAGGUAAACGCACUCAACUUGUGCCAAAACGCUAUAUUAGCUUUGUAUUACGGGUAGUGACGUAUCGUAAGCUUCAUAAGGGUCUCUUUUCAGACGUGUGUAGCCUGUGGUAAACUAACUGUGUGACUGAUGUGUUCAUUUAUUUUCCCAACCUUCUGAUUUGGUUCACUAUGUCCUGUUGAAGAGAACUGUUUAUUUAUAUUUCGGUGUUUGUUUAUCUCUGAAAUAAAUGUCUCUGAGACGUAGGAAUUCAUUGUAGUUGUUGAAGUGUGUGAUUGAGUCCCGGCCUUAGAAAUUGAUAAAUCAAUCUGAUCGCUGGGUUGUCGACAAUGCAGAUUUUAGUGUUAAUGUUCUGCAAACGUCGGCUCAAUCAGUUUGAAUCCCAGAGAAAGUUUACAAGUCUGUGGAAAAUAUUUAUUUGUUCUGUUAAAGGUCCAAUAAAGUCAUUUUUGUCUCAACGUCAAAUAAUUUCUGGGUAACAAUUAAGUACCUUACUGUGAUUGUUUUCAAUUAAAAUGGUAAAACAA